AUGAAACAGUCGUUCCCAGCCACCCCCAGGAGCAGGAAUCCUGCGCACAACCGCUUCCGGGCCGUUUCCUGGCGGCGCGCGGAGAAGCUUCCGCGCCUGCGCGCCGCGGGGCCUGGGGCCCGGACCCAGAGCCACCCUGGGCGCCCAGAGACGCGAACGACCCAGGCCGCCGUGGCGAGACUGGCCAGGCGCCCCCUGGGUGGCUGGUGUGACAACCGAGGCUCCAAUGGGAGGAGGUCUGGUCUGUCCACGGGGCCAGCAGAACACCUUCAUCCCAAGUUCAUCGCAUUUCUUCUAAUUCCACCCACGUUGUUGCAAAUGACAGGAUCUCAUCCUUUUUAUGGCUGAAGAGUGUGUCUUCGGCGAGGACUAAAUGUUUCCACAAGAAGGUUGCUCACCCCUCCAUUAUUACAUACUCUUCUGCUGAGCUCCAACCUGGCCUUUUAAUCAUUGGUGCUCAAGGUAAAAUCCAUUUCAUGGCAUAAAUAGUAACUUUCCUAAAUUCAGUAGAUCUUGUGACUACAAAAAUAUUACAUAUUAUAAACUUCUAAUUGAAGGUAAACCAAAACCUCUAAGAAAUUAUCUUGUUUUCUACUACUUUUCAGUGUGUCUUCCUUCUUGUACUAGAAUACUUCUUAGAAAUGAAAAAUUCAUUACAACAAAAUUUACAUUUACUACGCAGCUGUCUGCUAUGAUUUGUAAGUACAUAUAUCUUUUCUAUUGCUUAUGAAAUGAAAGUUUGGAGGUUUUGUUUUAUUUUUUAGCUCUGUGUGUGUGUGUGUGUAUGCACAUGUGGUCUAUGAAAAGUAACUGAAUGAGUGCAGAUGAGAGUCAAUGAGAGGAGCCAUUUUCAAAGUGAAUGUCAGACAGGCACAGACACCAUGGUUAGUUUUUUUUUUUUUUUUUUUUUUUUUUUUGAGACCGAGUGUCACUCUGUCGCCCAGACUGGAGUGCAGUGGCGCGAUCUUGGCUCACUGCAACCUCCACCUGCCGGGUUUAAGCAGUUCUCUUGCCUCAGCCUCCUGAGUAACUGGGACUACAGGCAUGCACCACCAUGUCCAACUAAUUUUUAUAUUUUUAAUAGAGACGGCGUUACACCAUGUUGGUCAGGCUGGUCUGGAACUCCUGACCUCAGCUGAUCCACUCACCUCGGCCUCCCAAAGUGCUGGGAUUACAGGCAUGAGCCACUGCAUCCAGCCUUGGUUAGUUGGUUUCUGACAGCAAUGAUGAAGUAAUGAACUUGGUGUAAAAGCACCAGAUUCAGAUCAAGACAUUUUUGAAAAAUAUAUUUUUCCUUAUUUUUAAUAAUAGCAUUUAUUU
rnacentral:lncRNA from 1 species